UAUUCCCUCGUAACUUAAGAAAAAAAAAGAUAACCAUUUCUUCUUCGCAGAAGCCCUCCUUCUUCUUCAAACCCUUGUGUGUGUUCUUGCCAAGCCAUCUUUCGUCUUCAAACGGCCGCCAGUGCUCGUCGUUUCGUUCAUCUUCUUCUUCCCACUAUCGCCGAGCUCACUUCCCUUCCUCCCAGCCCCCACCAUCACCGAAGGCAGAAACCCCCACUUUAUUCACUGCAUAUCUCAACUCAGUCUCUCUUAACUAUAUGCGCUGUGGCUGCUUCAUUGCUCCUGGCCGUGGGUCGUCGUUGCUCCGCUCCUUGCUGUGGGACGUCACUGCUUCUUUGCCUCCUCGCCAGUCUUGCUGUUACUUCCCUGCUUUGUGUCGUGUCUCCCCGUCACCGCGAGCUCCCUGUCACCGUGAGCUCACCCUGUCUCACACUCUCCAAGCUCACUCUGCAUCGCCGUUCAUCUAUCACCAUCUCUCCGGUUUUUAUAGACAUCUUAUGUACUUUGGUUGUGGAAUAUCUCCAAAGACGUGAGGAUUUCUAGAAUGAGAUUCAUCUGGUCAUUGGUGAUAUUGUGGUUGGAAUUAUACCUCUCAUUAUUGUGGUGACCAAUUUAUCACCCAUAGCUAGAUUUGGAAACUAUUCUUAUAACUCCAAAGAUUUGCUUGGAGGCAUUCAGCAUACUAUUGCAUCUCUUCCUGGCAGUGUAUUCGAAGCUGAAAGGCCAGGAUGUAAAUUCACUCUAAAGCAGCGCAUUGCCACAUACUUCAUCAAGGUGCCUUACAUUUUUGGAGGGGAAAAAACUUUUUUUACUGUAAUUUGCUUUGUAGUAGCAGUUUAUUACUUUUGACACAUUUUCUGUUCAAGGUGCAUUGCAAGGAAUCAUGGCCUUUUUAAGUGCUCUUAUUGGUCAAGAAUUUCUAAAUGUUAUAAUAAUGAAUUCCAAAAGGUAUACAUAUGUAAAUAUACCUACCCUGAUAUCUUAUAUAUUAAAUCUUUUGAAUUCUUGUCACAGAAUUUAUAGAAAUAAUAAAAUAUGAUUGUUUUUAUUAUUAUUAUACCUAUAUAAAGCAGUGAUGUAUUAUUUUUAUUUGCAUUAUUGGAACAAACAUAAGUCCUCUCUCUUGAAAACUGCUGCUCUUUGGGGUAUGUAUUGCUCUCUCUUAAUUUUGUGAAUUUGAGUUUUUGAUUGGUGUGUUUUAUUCAGUUGAUUGAGUUUUUGUUCAUUAAACAGUUGAUGAAGAUAUGGAAAAGAUAUGUAAUAUGAAAAUGUGUUGCAGUAGUCUAUAUGUGUAUAAUCCUUUUAUAAAAUUUUGAUUUUAACACACAGUCAACAUUCCAUGGAAGACAAAUUUUAUUUGGCUAAUUAGAUCCUAUAUAUCUGAAGUGAAAUCUAGUCUUUGUCUAAGAUGUUAUUGCCAAUAAUCUAUAUUUUCUAGUUUACUUCUUAGCAAAUGCUCCUUGUUGUUUAGUGGUUGAAAUUUUAAUGUUGAUUGACUUAUUAAAUUUGUGCUCCAUAUUCAUUACUCAACUGUAUUGCAUCAUCAAAAACAUUUUUGCUAUGUUCUAGCAUGUUUAUUUCUUUUGCUAGCAAGAGGACAUGAUGUGAAGAAAAUAUGUUCUAUACAAAUAUAAGAUGGGAUGGGUCUUAUAAUGAUUUUGGUUAUCUAAAUGUAUUAUUUUGAUGUAUUCUUUACUUUUUGAUAAGAGACUUUAUCCGAUAUUACAUGUAAUGGAUAAAUUACACCUUAUUUUGAUUAGUGUUGUAAUGGAUAUCUAGUUUUUAAUGAAACUUUUAUGAUUUAGAUUUA